ACGGCGUAGUAAUGCAUCGGAACGUACCCUCUGGUCGGGGAUAGCUACGGGAAACUGUAGGUAAUACCCGAUGAUCUCUGCGGAGCAAAGGUGAGAUUCCGCCGGAGGAGCGGCUGAUGUGAUAUUAGCUAGUUGGUGGGGUAAUGGCCCACCAAGGCGAUGAUGUCUAGGGGGUGUGAGAGCAUGGCCCCCACGACCGGAACUGAGAUACUGUCCGGACACCUACGGGUGGCUGCAGUCGAGAAUCUUCCGCAAUGGACGAAAGUCUGACGGAGCGACGCCGCGUGCGGGAUGAAGGCCCUUGGGUUGUAAACCGCUGUCAGAGGGGAUGAAAUCUUCGGAGGUACUCCUCCGAAGUUGACAGAGCCUCAAAGGAAGCACGGGCUAAGUACGUGCCAGCAGCCGCGGUAACACGUACUGUGCGAACGUUAUUCGGAAUCACUGGGCUUAAAGGGUGCGUAGGCGGUGAAUCAAGUCAGGUGUGAAAGGCCUGAGCUCAACUGAGGCAUUGCGCUUGAAACUGAUUUGCUUGAGUAUCCCAGGGGUGUGCGGAACUGCCAGU
rnacentral:rRNA from 1 species